rnacentral:rRNA from 1 species
UGCGUAGGCGGGUCUUUAAGUCAGAGGUGAAAGCCUGGAGCUCAACUCCAGAACUGCCUUUGAUACUGAGGAUCUUGAGUAUGGGAGAGGUGAGUGGAACUGCGAGUGUAGAGGUGAAAUUCGUAGAUAUUCGCAAGAACACCAGUGGCGAAGGCGGCUCACUGGCCCAUAACUGACGCUGAGGCACGAAAGCGUGGGGAGCAAACA